GCUUGUGAUUUAUUGCAUCCGGUGGAUGCCUUGAUAUUCACCAAACGAGUAGUUUAUACAGAUAACAACGAAGUUGCUGCUUCUAGAGCAGCUAGUGAUCGGUUGUUGAAACCACCUAGCCAAUCACAACACAGGGAACUGAAACAUCUUAGUACCUGUUGAGAAAAGAUAUCCAAGAUAUUUCGUUAGUAACAGCGAGUGAAACCGAACCAGGCUGAUCUGGUAACCUUAGUUCGUUGGUAAUUGUCAGGAUAGACAAGCGAUACACGGUGAUAGCCCAUAGCCAUUAACAACGAGGUUAACCAUUAAAAGUAGGAUGGAACACAAUGGAUUCCGUCCGAAGAUAGGAGGACCACCUUCUAAGCCUAAACAUUGGGAACAAUCGAUAGUGAACUAGUACCGUGAGGGAAAGGUGAAACAGAUGUCCGAACAGGACAGUGAAACAGAUCCUGAAACCGGAUGCUAACAAGCAGUCGGAGGGUCCAAAGACCUGACGACGUACCUUUUGUAUAAUGGGUCAACGAGUUACUGUCACAAGCAAAGCCGAGGCUUAUACCGAGGCGAAGCGAAAGCAAGUCCACAAAGGGCAUGAUAUAAACUUAAUGUUUAUUACGUUUGUGGCAUUAAACCCGAAACCGAGUGAUCUAACCAUGGACAGAUUGAAGAUCAGCUGAACUGACCGAAGGAUCGAACCCGUACGUGUUGCAAAACGUUGGGAUGAUCUGUGGUUAGGGGUGAAAGACCAAUCAAACUCGGAGAUAGCUGGUUCUCUGCGAAAUCUAUUUAAGUAGAGUGUUAAGCGAACAGCAUCAGGGGUAGAGCUCUGGAUGGCUAUGGGCAACAUCAGUUGCAUCAAAUCCAACCAAACUUCGAAUACUGAUGUCGGUGUACUUAAUACACACACUAUGAGCGAUAACGUCCAUAGUGGAGAGGGAAACAACCCAGACCUUGGGUUAAGGUCCUUAAAUCUAGACCAAGUGUUAAAGGAUGUUUUGACUGAAGACCGAUUGGGAUGUAGGCUCAGAAGUGGUCAUCAUCUAAGGAAAGUGUAACAACUCACCAAUUUGUAGUCAAUGCACCGAAAAUGUAACGGGACGAAGUCUAGUACCGAAACCAAUGGUGUUGCCAAUCUGGCAAUACGGUAGCAGAGCAUUCUGUAAGCCAACAAAGAUAUGCCGACAGGUAUGUUGGAGGCAUCAGAAGUGAGAAUGUUGACAUGAGUAACGAUAAUUGAAAGAAAGAACCAUUCACACCGAAUGAUCAAGGUUUCCUGUUUAAAGUCAAUCUGAACAGGGUUAGCCGGUUCCUAAGGCCAAGCGUAAGCGCAUAACCGAUGGUAAUCACGUUAAUAUUCGUGAGCCUUCUUGAAGACUUAAGAUCUACAAUGUCCGAUCUAAUCUGGUUUGAUUGUGGCAUUGGAUAUCUUAACAAGAAAAUCUUCAAGAUCUAUGACCGUACCUAAAACCAACACAGGUGAUCGGGUAGAGUAUACCAAGGUGUUUGAGAUAAUUGUACUGAAGGAACUCGGCAAAUUACAUGCGUAACUUCGGGAGAAGCAUGACCUGAUGUGGGUAACCAUAUCCAGGUGGAACAAAAAUGGGGGAAGCGACUGUUUAUCAAAAACACAGGACUCUGCCAAAUCGUAAGAUGACGUAUAGAGUCUGACACCUGCCCGGUGCUGACAAAUGAAAUUCGGAUGUUCGAAGCAUCCGGUAUAAGUUCCAGUAAACGGCGGCCGUAACUAUAACGGUCCAAAGGUAGCGAAACCCCUUGUCGGGUAAGUUCCGACCAGCAUGAAUGGUGUAACGACUUCCCCACUGUCUCCAGUACAAGCUCAGUGAAAUUGAAAUCCUCGUGAAGAUGCGAGGUACCUGCGGCAAGACGGAAAGACCCCGUGCACCUUCACUGCAACCUUGUAUUGACCUUGAUCAUGUCGAAGUGUAGAGUAGACGUAGACGAUGACCGAUCUAACUCGGAAGUCACCAAUGAAACACCGUCCUUCGAUCAAGAUCAGAUCUAAUCGUAGUUAGGUCAAUCCUGAUACAAGAUCCUGCAAGGUGGGUAGUUUGACUGGGAUGGUCACCUCCUAAAGAGUAACAGAGGUGUGCACAAGGUAGGCUCAUGACGUUUGGAAAUCGUCAGUAGAGUACAAUGGCAUAUGCCUGCCGAAGACUGCGAGGCAGACAUGUCGAGCAGAGACGUAAGUCGGUCAUAGUGAUCCGAUAACACCAUGUGGAAGGGUUAUUGCCAACGGAUUAAAGGUACGCCGGGGAUAACAGGCUAAUAGCUCCCAAGAGUUCUUAUCGACGGAGCUGCUUGGCACCUCGAUGUCGACUCAUCGCAUCCUGGGGCUGAACAAGGUCCCAAGGGUAUGGCUGUUCGCCAUUUAAAGCGGUACGUGAGUUGGGUUCAGAACGUCGCAAGACAGUUCGGUCCCUAUCUGCCGUGGGUUCAAGGGUAUUGACAGGACCUGUCUCCAGUACGAGAGGACCGAGAUGGACAUACCUCUGGUCUACCUGUUGUCGUUACCAACGGCAUGGCAGGAUAGCUAAGUAUGGAACAGAUAACAGCUGAAUGCAUCUAAGCCGGAAGCUAACCUGAAAACAAACCCUAAGUAAGAGUUGUGAUAGACCAUCACGUUGAUAGGUCAGAUGUGUAAGUGCGGCAACGCACUCAGCUAACUGAUACUAACUAUUCGAAAACAAGCAACA
rnacentral:rRNA from 1 species